rnacentral:rRNA from 1 species
UGAAGAAUGAUGACGAGUGGCGGACGGGUGAGUAAUGUGUAGGAACUUACCCCGGAGUGAGGGAUAACUGCCCGAAAGGGUAGCUAAUACCGCAUAGUGUCUAUUGACUAAAGUCGUAAGACGCUCCGGGAGAGGCCUGCAUCUGAUUAGCUAGUUGGCGGGGUAAAUGCCCACCAAGGCGACGAUCAGUAGCUGGUUUGAGAGGAUGACCAGCCACACUGGAACUGAGACACGGUCCAGACUCCUACGGGAGGCAGCAGUUAGGAAUUUUCCACAAUGGGGGCAACCCUGAUGGAGCAACGCCGCGUGCUGGAUGAAGGCCUUAGGGUCGUAAACAGCCUUUAUUAGGGAAGAUUAUGACGGUACCUAGCGAAUAAGGGUCGGCUAACUCCGUGCCAGCAGCCGCGGUCAUACGGAGGACCCAAGCGUUAUUCGGAAUUACUGGGCGUAAAGAGUUGCGUAGGUGGUCUGUUAAGUGUGUAGUUAAAUCUUGUGGCUCAACCAUAAGUCCAUUACGCAAACUGACAGACUUGAGAAUGAGAGAGGUUACUGGAAUUUCUUGUGUAGGAGUGAAAUCCGUAGAUAUAAGAAGGAACACCAAUGGCGUAGGCAGGUAACUGGCUCUUUUCUGACACUAAGGCACGAAAGCGUGGGGAGCAAACGGGAUUAGAUACCCCGGUAGUCCACGCCGUAAACUUUGGACGCUAGCUGUUGGCCGUAUCGACCCGGUCAGUAGCGAAGCUAACGCGUCAAGCGUCCCGCCUGUGAAGUACGGUCGCAAGACUAAAACAUAAAGGAAUUGACGGGGUCCCGCACAAGUAGUGGAGCGUGUUGUUUAAUUCGAUGCUAAGCGAAGAACCUUACCCAGACUUGACAUCCUUGGAAGCACUGCGAAAGCAGAGUGUGUCUUCGGAAACCAAGUGACAGGUGUUGCAUGGCCGUCGUCAGCUCGUGUCGUGAGAUGUUGGGUUAAGUCCCGCAACGAGCGCAACCCUUGUGGCUAGUUGAAUUUUUCUAGCCAAACUGCCUCGGUAACGGGGAGGAAGGAGGGGAUGAUGUCAGGUCAGUAUUACCCUUAUGUCUGGGGCUACAAACACGCUACAAUGGACGGUACAAAGGGCAGCCAACCCGCGAGGGGGAGCAAAUCCCAUCAAAGCCGUUCUCAGUUCGGAUUGCAGGCUGAAACUCGCCUGCAUGAAGCUGGAAUUACUAGUAAACGUAGGUCAGCACACUACGUUGAAUACGUUCCCGGGACUUGUACACACCGCCCGUCAAACCAUGAAAGUCACCAAUACCCGAAGUCUGGCUUUUGCCGGCCUAAGGUAGGGGAGAUGAUUGGGGUUAAGUCGAAACAAGGUA